rnacentral:rRNA from 1 species
UUGCUAGGAGGCGUCGAGCGGCGGACGGGUGAGUAAUGCAUAGGAAUCUGCCCGGUAGUGGGGGAUAACCUGGGGAAACCCAGGCUAAUACCGCAUACGCCCUACGGGGGAAAGCAGGGGAUCUUCGGACCUUGCGCUAUCGGAUGAGCCUAUGUCGGAUUAGCUUGUUGGUGAGGUAAUGGCUCACCAAGGCGACGAUCCGUAGCUGGUCUGAGAGGAUGAUCAGCCACAUCGGGACUGAGACACGGCCCGAACUCCUAC